CAGAUUCCUGUUGGCCUCUCUGCACGGCACUCCUUCCUCCUGGGUUGAGGGCAGGACCCUUUCUAAAAUGAGGAUCUUAUGACCUACAAUCAGACAAGGCUGAAGUGCAACGGCGCGAUCCUCAACUCACCGCAACGUCUGCCUCCCGGCUUCAAGCGAUUCUCCUGCCUCAGCCUCCCAAGUAGCUGGGACUACAGGCGUGUGCCACCACGCCCAGUUAAUUUUGUAUUUUUAGUAAAGACAGGGUUUCUCCAUGUUGGUCAGGCUGGUCUUGAACUCCGGACCUCGGCCUCCCAAAGUGCUGGGAUUACAGGUGUGAGCCACCGAAUCCAGCCGAGAGCUUUCUUGUUUUGCUUACUAAACUUUUGCUCCAACCUCACCCUUGUGUUCGUGCUCUGUGACACAAAGAACUCCGGAUACUAUCUCAGACAACCAAAGACUGCUACAUUUUGGCGCACUGGUGAGACUACAACACCUUGCUAAUUUUUGUAUUUUUGUAGAAACAGGUUUUCACCGUGUUGCCCAGGCUGGUCUUGAACUCCUGACCUCAAGCAAUCUGCCUUGGCCUCCCAAAGUGCUGGGAUUACAGGUGUGAGCCACCACAUCCAGCAGAAGGUCAUUCUUCACCUAUCAAAAUGGCAAAGAUAUUUUAAAAAGAAAAGAUAAAAAUUGGCAAAGUUCAGGGAAAUUGCUGAUGUGUAAGUGAUUGUGUGAAACUGUUCUGAAGGGUUACAUGAAAUACAUAUUCAAAGCCUUCAACGUGUGCCUACUAUUUGACCUAAAUAUCUCAUUUAAUAUUUUUCCAAAGAAAAUAAUUUAAGGGUCAAAUGUUUUAGAGUAUUUAGGAUAUUUACUGCAACAUUGUUUAUAAUAGCAAAAAAGAAAUACUAGAAAAAGCUUCACUGUACAGCAACAAAUGGUUAAAUAUAUAAUGUAUAAUCUAUACAAUAGCAUGCAGUAGGUCUCUUAACUCCACUUAACACAUUCACAAAACUCCCCAGGGCGCAUCCCUCCCCAUUAGCCACCUCCCAUCAUGUCAUAGGUAGAUAUGCAAAAUGCUAUAUUGAAGGGCCAGGUAAAUCUCAGUCAGGAUGGCAUUACGGCAUGGAGAGACAAGUUAUUAUAGUACAGCACAUGCUUGAUUCCAUGAGUCAAACUGCAUGCUUCCAAGAGAUAGUUGUGUUCGCUCCUGUGACUAUUUCAUGCCAGAGGUGCUUGUUGACACUGUGAUUUCAAUAAACAUUACAUAAACUAAUAUAAAAAAAUUGCUUGAGACAGGGUCUUGCUGUCACCCAGACUGGAGUGCAGUGGCAUGAUCAUAGCUCACUGCAGACUCAAACUCCUGGACUCAAGCAAUCCACUCACCUCAGCCUCCUAACUGGGACUACAGGUGCACACCACCAUGCUCAGAUAAUUUUUUAACUUUUUGUAGAGAAAGGGUCUCACUAUGUUUCCCAGGCUGGUCUCAAGCGAUCCUCCCAUCUCAGUCUCCCAAAGUGCUGGGAUUACAGGCAUGAGCCACCACUGUGCCUGGCCUAAAAAUUUUUUGUUAAAAAUGCUUUCCACCGGCCGGGUGCAGUGGCUCAUGCCUAUAAUCCCAGCACUUUGGGAGGCCAAGGUAGGUGGAUCACCUGAGGUCAGGAAUUUGAGACCAGCUGGCCAACAUGGUGAAACCGCCUUUCUACUAAAAAUACAAAAACUAGCCAGGCAUGGGGGCUGACACCUGUAAUCCUAGCUACUCAGGAGGCUGAGGCAGGAGAAUCGCUUGAACCCGGGAGGUAGAGGUUGCAGUGAGCCAAGAUCAUGCCACUGCACUCCAGCUGGAGCGACAGAGUGAAACUCUGUCUCACACACACACACACACACAAAAAUACUUUCCACCUAAUUCUGAGGCAGAGCCAAGUUUGUGAACACUAAUGUAGAACCCACAAUAAAUAUUGCUUCCUUCUUGGGAGGACUUUUUUCAGAGAUUAUUUUUUCUUCUAAGUUACCUUCCUGUCAAAAAAGGAACGGUCUUGGCUACAGAUUUUUUUUUUUUUUUUUUUUUG
rnacentral:lncRNA from 10 species